UUUUUUUUUGUUUUAAGAGGGGAGAAUGUACAGGCAGAUCGCCAAGUGAACUGACAUCCAUGUUCUGGCGAACGGUUCUUCAUUUUCUUCCGCCGUGCUACCGUGGUAAAUCACUGAGGUAAAAACGACGCGUCGCAGAAAGCCAGCUCUAUCUCUCUAUCUCUCUUUUUUUACUUUUGAAAUUCAGAAAGCCAGCUCUUCGAUUGUACUAGCACCAUUUGUUUUUCUUGUGGCAUUUUUGUUUCAGUUGGUCUAGUUCACAUUUAGAUAUUUUCUAAGAAUAUCGCAUCUAAGCUCCCACAAAUAACGCAGCAACAAGGAACAAAAAAAAAACUGAGAUAGAAAAAAUAUAGUGGACAUCAGGUUAGAUGUGACAUACCCUCUUUCGUUUGGAAAGGCGACGCGGUUCGUUUCACUUAUAUAGACACGGCAAGGGUUAAGAUUGCUUAGACUGAUAAACCGCAUUUUUAGUUAAGUGGCUUUGAGAUUAUCUCUUUUUUUCAGGGAGAGGUGUACCUUUAACAAAGAUGCAGAUGCUUGCUUCCACGGCUUCAGAUUUUUUAUCCACUUGAGAACGAAAAGGGACGCUAUAUAAAUAUAAACUCUAGCGAUCCAAGAUAAUACGAAAGUCUCACCUCCCAACUUUAAUUUGAAAGCAAGGGCAGCAGCAGCAGCAGCAGAAAAGUCAAUGAUCUGAACUUUCUGAUUGAUCGUGUCCGCGGUUGCGUAGUAUUUCACGGAACAGGUCCAACCUUUUGUUUAUUUCAUUUCACUCCGUGCUUCAGCUGACUAAUCCGCCGCAUUCGGAUACGUUUGGCUACCAUGAGUUCCUCGCCUAUAACCACCCAAUUGUUAGUUUAGCACUAAUGAAGAUAUGAAGGGCCAUUAAAAUAUGAAGAUAUGAAGGGCACUUAAAAUAUGAAGAUAUGAAGGGGUGCAAGCAGACACUUGAUGCCGCCAAAAGAAAUAACAGAAUCAAAGUAAGUAUUACAUAUGAAUUUCUUCAAAGUUUUGUUCAUUUGCUGAACUAAACCAAUCAACCAAAUCAGCCCUUCAUUUUGUUAAUACUAUAAGAAAGGGAAAGCGCAUAUGGCAAGUGGAGCCGUGUUUACAGAAAGGAAUGUCGAUUUGGCAAGCCAGCCCGGAGCCCCCGUUUGAUAUGAUCGCCGCGCCGAAUAUGGUUCUGUUAUAGUAGUAAAGAACUGUAAAUAGAAUUUAAGUUCAGAUGGAAUAAUAGCAGAGAUGCUACCCUCAGGUAUUAUAACACUCAGCUUGGGUGAUAAAGAUUAGGCAGUGAUGCUGCCAUGCAGUGGAGAUCACCCUGGGCAAGGAAUAUCAAGACAUAAAAAGUGGCACAGCGGACACCGGAUACCCAUUUCUGAGGAGAAGGUCCACUAAGGGCAUGCAACUGUAAGCUUUUAAUGGUAUAGUUUACAAAAACUUGCACUCUGGCAGCACAUAUCAAGAGAAUCUCGAACCGAAUUCUAAUCUCAUGAAUAUCCAAAAGAUGUUUGACAUGAUGUGCACUUAAAUCUCAACUGAAUCAUUCCACUACAGCUGAACAAAUGAAGCAGGGGAGAGGGAGAGGGUUUCUCAGAAAAAGGAAUCGCAUCUCGUUCUGCCGUCCGUGCUAUAAUGCGAUGGGCAAAUACAGGAAUCUGCAAUUCUGUGAAUAGGUGGUCUCAAGCUUUCUUUAACCAUGUCCGGUGGUACAGCAGCUGCCAAUUAUAUAA
rnacentral:lncRNA from 1 species